AGAAUCAACGCUGGCGGCGUGCCUAACACAUGCAAGUCGAACGAGAAAGUGGAGCAAUCCACAAGUAAAGUGGCGCACGGGUGAGUAACACGUGACUAACCUACCCUUGAGUGGGGGGAUAACCUAGAGAAAUCUGGGCUAAUACCGCAUAAUACCUUCGGGUCAAAGGAGCAAUUCGCUUAAGGAGGGGGUCGCGGCCGAUUAGUUAGUUGGCGGGGUAAUGGCCCACCAAGACUAUGAUCGGUAUCCGGCCUGAGAGGGCGCACGGACACACUGGAACUGAAACACGGUCCAGACUCCUACGGGAGGCAGCAGUGGGGAAUUUUGCGCAAUGGGGGAAACCCUGACGCAGCAACGCCGCGUGGAGGAUGAAGCCCCUUGGGGCGUAAACUCCUUUCGAGUCGGGACGAUAAUGACGGUACCGAGAGAAGAAGCCCCGGCUAACUUCGCGCCAGCAGCCGC
rnacentral:rRNA from 1 species